rnacentral:rRNA from 1 species
AAUGAACGCUGGCGGCAGGCCUAACACAUGCAAGUCGAACGGGUCCUUCGGGAUUAGUGGCGGACGGGUGAGUAACGCGUGGGAACAUACCCUUUGGUACGGAAUAGCCUCGGGAAACUGAGAGUAAUACCGUAUGUGCCCUUCGGGGGAAAGAUUUAUCGCCAAAGGAUUGGCCCGCGUUGGAUUAGGUAGUUGGUGGGGUAAUGGCCUACCAAGCCGACGAUCCAUAGCUGGUUUGAGAGGAUGAUCAGCCACACUGGGACUGAGACACGGCCCAGACUCCUACGGGAGGCAGCAGUGGGGAAUCUUAGACAAUGGGGGAAACCCUGAUCUAGCCAUGCCGCGUGAUCGAUGAAGGCCUUAGGGUU